rnacentral:rRNA from 1 species
ACGUACACUCCUGCGGGAGGCAGCAGUGGGGAAUAUUGCACAAUGGGCGCAAGCCUGAUGCAGCCAUGCCGCGUGUAUGAAGAAGGCCUUCGGGUUGUAAAGUACUUUCAGCGGGGAGGAAGGCGAUAAGGUUAAUAACCUUGUCGAUUGACGUUACCCGCAGAAGAAGCACCGGCUAACUCCGUGCCAGCAGCCGCGGUAAUACGGAGGGUGCAAGCGUUAAUCGGAAUUACUGGGCGUAAAGCGCACGCAGGCGGUCUGUCAAGUCGGAUGUGAAAUCCCCGGGCUCAACCUGGGAACUGCAUUCGAAACUGGCAGGCUAGAGUCUUGUAGAGGGGGGUAGAAUUCCAGGUGUAGCGGUGAAAUGCGUAGAGAUCUGGAGGAAUACCGGUGGCGAAGGCGGCCCCCUGGACAAAGACUGACGCUCAGGUGCGAAAGCGUGGGGAGCAAACAGGAUUAGAUACCCCAGUAGUCCC